rnacentral:rRNA from 1 species
CAGCAGCCGCGGGAAUACGAGGGGAGCUAGCGUUAAUCGGAAUUACUGGGCGUAAAGCGUGCGUAGGCGGUGAGUUAAGUCUGCUGUGAAAUCCCCGGGCUCAACCUGGGAAUGGCAGUGGAUACUGGCUCGCUAGAGUGUGUCAGAGGAUGGUGGAAUUCCCGGUGUAGCGGUGAAAUGCGUAGAGAUCGGGAGGAACAUCAGUGGCGAAGGCGGCCAUCUGGGACAACACUGACGCUGAGGCACGAAAGCGUGGGGAGCAAACAGGAUUAGAUACCCCAGUAGUCCCUGUCUCUUAUAC